rnacentral:lncRNA from 1 species
UGGUACUGCAUCCCAGACUUUCAAGUUUGCUGUAAAAGAACCGUUACUUUAAAAAAAACUGAUCUGAUCCAGCACUUCCAGUGGGUUUUAGAACUAUUUAGUCAACCAACCAACCAACCAACCAACCAACCUACCUACCUACCUACCUACCUACCUACCUACCUACCUACCUACCUACCUACCUACCUACCUACCUACCUACCUACCUACCUACCUACCUACCUACCUACCUACCUACCUACCUACCUACCUACCUACCUACCUACCUACCUACCUACCUACCUACCUACCUACCUACCUACCUACCUACCUACCUACCUACCUACCUACCUACCUACCUACCUACCUACCUACCUACCUACCUACCUACCUACCUACCUACCUACCUACCUACCUACCUACCUACCUACCUACCUACCUACCUACCUACCUACCUACCUACCUACCUACCUACCUACCUACCUACCUACCUACCUACCUACCUACCUACCUACCUACCUACCUACCUACCUACCUACCUACCUACCUACCUACCUACCUACCUACCUACCUACCUACCUACCUACCUACCUACCUACCUACCUACCUACCUACCUACCUACCUACCUACCUACCUACCUACCUACCUACCUACCUACCUACCUACCUACCUACCUACCUACCUACCUACCUACCUACCUACCUACCUACCUACCUACCUACCUACCUACCUACCUACCUACCUACCUACCUACCUACCUACCUACCUACCUACCUACCUACCUACCUACCUACCUACCUACCUACCUACCUACCUACCUACCUACCUACCUACCUACCUACCUACCUACCUACCUACCUACCUACCUACCUACCUACCUACCUACCUACCUACCUACCUACCUACCUACCUACCUACCUACCUACCUACCUACCUACCUACCUACCUACCUACCUACCUACCUACCUACCUACCUACCUACCUACCUACCUACCUACCUACCUACCUACCUACCUACCUACCUACCUACCUACCUACCUACCUACCUACCUACCUACCUACCUACCUACCUACCUACCUACCUACCUACCUACCUACCUACCUACCUACCUACCUACCUACCUACCUACCUACCUACCUACCUACCUACCUACCUACCUACCUACCUACCUACCUACCUACCUACCUACCUACCUACCUACCUACCUACCUACCUACCUACCUACCUACCUACCUACCUACCUACCUACCUACCUACCUACCUACCUACCUACCUACCUACCUACCUACCUACCUACCUACCUACCUACCUACCUACCUACCUNUUCUAUUCUAUUCUUAGCCUAAUCUGUUUAUAG